UCCCUAACGCCAGGGUUGACAGGAGCAACAUUCACAACAAGCCCUGGGCGACAAGAACCGGGGGAAGUACCUUGAGCUCUGAUUAAGGGGAAUAGGGGAAGACGAUGCCAAAGAAGAAGCACGGGGACCACGACAGCGACGAAGAAGACAUCUUCUAUUACCGCUAUGCUUCCUAUUCUGCUUCUUCAGCACCUUCCUCAAACACCACCAGAACCCUCAAGACUCACGGUGGCUCUGGUGGGUUAGCUCCCUCUAAAUCCACUAUCUACGUCUCCAACCUUGACUUCUCCCUCACUAACUCCGACCUCAACACCCUUUUUUCCACCUUCGGAAAGAUCGCCCGAGUCACCGUGCUCAAGGACCGAGUCACUCGCCAGAGCCGUGGCGUCGCUUUCAUUCAAUACGUUUCUCGUGACGAUGCACAAAAAGCUGCUCGUGAGAUGAACCGCAAAGUUCUCAACGGCAGGACCUUGACUGCUUCCAUCGCCGCGGAUAAUGGCCGGGCUCCGGAAUUUAUAAAGAAAAGGGUUUAUAAGGAUAAGAGUCGGUGUUACGAGUGUGGGGAAGGAGGACAUUUGUCUUAUGAGUGUCCCAGGAAUCAGUUAGGGCCCAGGCAGCGUCCGGUUCCCAAGCGCGAACGACAUGGCAGUGGCGGUGGCGGCGGGGGCGGGUACCAGCGGGCCGAGGAGGAUGAUGACGGAUCCGAUGGUGGGGAUCGGUUUGAGGAUGAUAAUUGGGCUUCUAUUGUGGAUAAUGGGGCGGAUGAAAGGUUGCUGACGGGUAACGAGAAGGUUGUGGAGAAGAAGAAGGCGAAGAAAGCAAGCUAUUUCAGUGAUGAGAGUGGUGAUGAAGAUGAUUGAUCUUUUGGGCAGAAACGAAUUGAGCAAUUCAAGGGGACAUACUUGGAAAGUUUUCCUAUUCCCAAGGACAAUAGCUGACUGGAAGGUCCUGUCAAUAUUAGAAGCUGUGACAGUGAAUACCCAUGGAGCUGUAUUGACGAUAGUGCAAGAAUCAGGGCCGUCAUUCCCUGCAGAGCACACCACCAUGAUUCGCAUUUCUUCAGCAUGAAAUGCUCCAAUGGCUAUGGGAUCAUUCAAAAAGUCUGAUUGAAAGAGUGAGUUGAGUCCAAUGGAGAUAGAGAUUAUGUCCACUCUGUCUUUUAUUGCAUCAUCGAUAGCCUUCAGAAUGGUGGAACCAGGGCAGCCAUCUUCUGAGCAUGCCUUGUAGGCAGCAAUCCUAGAAGAAGGUGAGCCUCCUCUUGCAGUUCCCUUCGCUAAGCCAUAAUAAUUGGCAUUUUGAACUCUGCUACCUGCUGUUGGUGAUGCAGUGUGAGUGCCAUGGCCAACAGAGUCUCUUGGGGACCCUCUGCCUUUUGGGUGGAAUCUUCCCAAUAUCAUGAUCGUUGAAACUUGGAGCCUCAGGCCAAAUCCCUUUGGGGGAAGAAAUCAAAUAUAGGCAUGGGUGAAUCAUAACAUAUUAACUAGAAGUUGGAAAUUCUCUAGUCUGUGUAAACUUUAA